GCACAAGAAGUUAACAUAGAUGUUCAUUAAUGAUAUACAAAGUUACAAAGGGAAAGUCAAAUGCGAAAUUACAAAAAGAAAAAGUUAAGGCAUUAUAUGUCUUAAUUACAAUUCGCCCCAUACCGAACGAAUUCUUUCCCUAAGUUUUCCCCAGUCCUCGUUCUGCCGAGAGGAAGUGAUGUUCAAUUCGGCCACAACAUCAUCAUCAACUUCCAACUUCUUGUACUGCUUGACCAAAGAUUUAGUUCGCUCAAUUCCUUGGGAGGCGUUAUGCUUUUUAGCAGCCAUUCUCGUCUUGCAGUCGUCCAUUUUAGCUUGAAGUUCCUUCAUCUGAGCAGCCAAACUAGCCAUCAAAGAGUUUUCAAUCAUGACUUUGGAAGAGAUUUCUUUCAACUCGUCCUCAACUUUGUUAAUCUCAAGAAGCAAAGACUCUUUUUCAGACACGGCGCGAAGAUAUUGAGUACUUUUAGCUUUCAGUUCAACAUUCUUGGCCAGCAAGGAGAGGAUCUCGGAAUGGAUAACUUUCAACGUCGCUUUCAAAUCAGCAGAAAGAUUGAGCGACGGAAGUGUCAGUGCUUGUUCCAACUUCGCAUUCAAAUGCUCAAGCUUAUCCUUAUGUCUGGCAGCACUAGCCUUACCAAUGUCCAUAUCCAUGAAGGACACGUACUCAAAUAUCGACUGCUUGAGGAAUUUCAUAUCUUCCUCUGAAGAAGUAGC
rnacentral:lncRNA from 1 species